UACGUAGGGGGCAAGCGUUGUCCGGAAUCAUUGGGCGUAAAGAGCGCGUAGGCGGCCCUGUAAGUCCGCUGUGAAAGUCAAGGGCUCAACCCUUGAAUGCCGGUGGAUACUAGCAGGCUAGAGUCCGGAAGAGGCGAGUGGAAUUCCUGGUGGUAGCGGGUGAAAUGCGCAGAUAUCAGGAGGAACACCGGUGGCGAAGGCGGGUCUCUGGGCCGAUACUGACGCUGAGGAGCGAAAGCGUGGGGAGCGAACAGGA
rnacentral:rRNA from 1 species